GUCUUUUUAGUAUAAUAGUACGAAUGACUUCCAAUCAUUAAAUCUUAGUCAUAAUCUAAGAAAAGACA
rnacentral:tRNA from 1 species